rnacentral:rRNA from 1 species
GACGAACGCUGGCGGCGUGCUUAACACAUGCAAGUCGAACGGAAAGGCCCUGCUUGCAGGGUACUCGAGUGGCGAACGGGUGAGUAACACGUGGGUGAUCUGCCCUGCACUUCGGGAUAAGCCUGGGAAACUGGGUCUAAUACCGGAUAGGAGCCAUUUUUAGUGUGAUGGUUGGAAAGUUUUUUCGGUGUAGGAUGAGCUCGCGGCCUAUCAGCUUGUUGGUGGGGUAAUGGCCUACCAAGGCGGCGACGGGUAGCCGGCCUGAGAGGGUGGACGGCCACAUUGGGACUGAGAUACGGCCCAGACUCCUACGGGAGGCAGCAGGGGGGAAUAUUGCACAAUGGGCGCAAGCCUGAUGCAGCGACGCCGCGGGGGGGAGGACGGCCUUCGGGUUGUAAACUCCUUUCGCUAGGGACGAAGCUUUUUGUGACGGUACCUAGAUAAGAAGCACCGGCUAACUACGUG